rnacentral:rRNA from 1 species
AGUGAACGCUGGCGGUAGGCCUAACACAUGCAAGUCGAACGGCAGCACAGUAAGAGCUUGCUCUUACGGGUGGCGAGUGGCGGACGGGUGAGGAAUACAUCGGAAUCUACUUUUUCGUAGGGGAUAACGUAGGGAAACUUACGCUAAUACCGCAUACGACCUACGGGUGAAAGCAUGGGAUCUUCGGACCUUGCGCGAUUGAAUGAGCCGAUGUCGGAUUAGCUAGUUGGCGGGGUAAAGGCCCACCAAGGCGACGAUCCUUAGCUGGUCUGAGAGGAUGAUCAGCCACACUGGAACUGAGACACGGUCCAGACUCCUACGGGAGGCAGCAGUGGGGAAUAUUGGACAAUGGGCGCAAGCCUGAUCCAGCCAUACCGCGUGGGUGAAGAAGGCCUUCGGGUUGUAAAGCCCUUUUGUUGGGAAAGAAAAGCAGCAGGUUAAUACCCCGCUGUUCUGACGGUACCAAAAGAAUAAGCACCGGCUAACUUCGUG